UACGAAGGGGGCUAGCGUUGUUCGGAAUUACUGGGCGUAAAGCGCACGUAGGCGGAUUUGUAAGUCAGGGGUGAAAUCCCGGGGCUCAACCUCGGAACUGCCCUUGAUACUGCAAGUCUUGAGUCCGGAAGAGGUGAGUGGAAUUCCUAGUGUAGAGGUGAAAUUCGUAGAUAUUAGGAAGAACACCAGUGGCGAAAGGCGGCUCACUGGUCCGGUACUGACGCUGAGGUGCGAAAGCGUGGGGAGCAAACAGG
rnacentral:rRNA from 1 species